rnacentral:rRNA from 1 species
UACGUAGGGUGCGAGCGUUAAUCGGAAUUACUGGGCGUAAAGCGUGCGCAGGCGGUUUUGUAAGCCAGAUGUGAAAUCCCCGGGCUCAACCUGGGAAUGGCAUUUGGGACUGCAAGGCUGGAGUUUGGCAGAGGAGACUGGAAUUCCCGGUGUAGCAGUGAAAUGCGUAGAUAUAGUAAGGAAGACCAGUGGCGAAGGCGGGUC